GGCCCCGUAGCUCAACCGGAUAGAGCACCGGAUUUCUAAUCCGGCGGUUGUAGGUUCGAGUCCUACCGGGGUCGCCA
rnacentral:tRNA from 1 species